GUGGGGAAUAUUGGACAAUGGGGGCAACCCUGAUCCAGCCAUGCCGCGUGUGUGAAGAAGGCCUUUUGGUUGUAAAGCACUUUAAGCAGUGAAGAAGACCUAACGGUUAAUACCCGUUAGCGAUGACAUUAGCUGCAGAAUAAGCACCGGCUAACUCUGUGCCAGCAGCCGCGGUAAUACAGAGGGUGCAAGCGUUAAUCGGAAUUACUGGGCGUAAAGCGAGCGUAGGUGGCUUGAUAAGUCAGAUGUGAAAUCCCCGGGCUUAACCUGGGAACUGCAUCUGAUACUGUUGGGCUAGAGUAGGUGAGAGGGAGGUAGAAUUUCAGGUGUAGCGGUGAAAUGCGUAGAGAUCUGAAGGAAUACCGAUGGCGAAGGCAGCCUCCUGGCAUCAUACUGACACUGAGGUUCGAAAGCGUGGGUAGCAAACAGGAUUAGAUACCCUUGUAGUCC
rnacentral:rRNA from 1 species